CAUACAAGACGGACACGGGAUUACUCUAACAUCCAUCCCUUCGCACCUUCGCACCAGAUCCAUCCCUUUGCCACCGCCAAUCCAACCCUUCGCCACCCUUCCAUCCCUUCGCCGCUGCCGCUUCAGGAGACGCCGCCGAUCGCGCCCUGGAGCCGCACGGCGAUCCCCUUCAGGAGCCGCACGCCCAUCCCCUGAGCCGGCACCGAUCCCCGUUGAAGAGCAGCCGCCGCUUCAGGAGACGCCGCCGGUCACGCCCUGGAGCCGCACGGCGAUCCCCUUCAGGAGCCGCACGCCCAUCCCCUGUGCCGGCGCCGAUCCCCGUUGAAGAGCCACCGACAAGGUCAUUGCGGAUAUAGAUGAAUCUAAAUAGUGUGACGGUCUGAGUACUCGUGGGCGUGAUGAGGUGACUACGGAGCCACCAGAACAUGCGAGUGGCAAUGCUUCAGGACAAGCAGCCAGCGAUGGCAUAGCUUCACAGAAUGGAGUACGACGUAGGUGUUCAAGGAUUGUAUCAGGUCGCAUGCGAAGAUCCUGAAGUUGCAAGUAGAUACAGUCAAGAACAUAGUUAAAGGUGAUAUGGGAGAUAAGUUCCCUAGGCAAGCUGGAUUGAAGCUUGAUGAGCCGAACCCAAGGGACGUGCUUAGUUUCUACCACAAAAUUCUAUCAUUCAUAACAACCGAUGUUGCAAAGAGUUCAGGCUGAAUGGUCAGAUAACAAGAAUCGGGUGGAUCUGCAUGUGGUGGAUGAUCGUUUACAAGGAAGGUUGAAUGUAUGGUUCCUCGAGAUGAUCAGAUGGUGCCACGUAUUCGACCUCGAUUUGUGGUAAGUUCCAAAAUGUACAGUCAAAAUCAGUCUUUGAGAUACGGAUAAAUUGGUUUGCACAUAAAAUUCAUCACGCAACUGUUAUAAUUUGGGUGCGAUUCGUAGAGCCUUUUGAAGUUUUGAUGCAUGUCGAUAUGGCAUAACAUCAGACAUCUUGGAAUAAAAUUAAUUUUCUCCCCGCCGUCUCAUGAUAGAGAAUUCACUAUAUGUGUUUAAUCCAUGAAUAAAUUAGAAUAUGCUCUUCUUUAUUAUUACUUUUGGAAGAAUCAGACUGCAAUAUACAAUCAGUCAGGAGAUUGGCUUCCCUGGAGAUUCAAAAUGAUGGACAAUCAGUCAGGAGAAGAUAUAUGAAAGGAAUGCAUAGCCUAAAUGUGUACAUUGGCUUCCCUGGAAAAAAUUGGUGUGAGUGUGAAGCCAACUCUAAAAGUGGGGUCUGUUCAAGUAGAAGGAACAUGCCAAGAUGAAAGAAGACGGAGCAAAAAAAACCUUAAGAGGCACGAACGCAACAGCAACACUAUCUAAAACGUCACGCACUUCUGUCAAGGAAUAGAAUGGAAUCUGGAAUGAAAGAAAGAGGAAGAGUUCGCACCCACCUUCUCUCAAAGCCGCCGCUUUGAGUUCGUGUCGGCCCUACUGCAGUCGGCAGUGGUCAAGGUCGACCUGCGUGCCGCAGGGGAGCAUCACCGCCCUACACGCCGAGGGGCGCCAUGCGCUGGCUCCCACGUGCGGUUUGACCAACAAGUCGAGAUUGCGCGUGCGGAGGUAGAAGGCAAGGAAGGGGAAUCAGGCGUGCCCGCCCCGCACAACAUCAGGCCACAUGGAAGCUCCCAAGCACGAAAACAAACGCUCACUACUCUCUCCUUCUCGGAUUGCUGGCAUCGCUCCAGAUGGGUGAAGAGAGCUGAGCAUUGGUGGUGAAGCUGGAGGAGGAUGGAGGAAUAAUAGUCAUUUUGGAGCUAGCUACGACCUCCUCUGGAUGUUUCAUAGGGUUCUGCACAAUGUGUUCUCCUGCAAUUUGGUCACCAAGGCCGCUGAAAUGAUUUGGCAUCUGAACUUUGUCAAGUCCUUAUUGGAAGACGCGGAUUGCAGAUCAUGAUAUCCCUGUAAGACCAAGAUUUUGAUGCUCCUGUUACCUGACAUCGAAGUCGAGUAACAUGUUUUUGGUCAUGAUUCCUGUUGUGCUUCUGUACGUGCUACCAUCGUUUAAUUCUUGGUAUGCUUGUCCCUGAUACUCGGAUCAUGAUUUCAUUGCACCUUGAAAGCUUCAUGUGAUGACAUGAUCAGGAUGCCAAGGAUUCGUGUUAUCUACUGAAAAAGGCUUUCGCCCCACUUUAUAUAUAAAGCAAUGAUCAAUAGCACCCGGUACAAACACACACCCUCACAACAGACGCACACACACACACCCAAGGCAUAAUACGUAGGCGCUGAGCACAGCAACACCAACCCUAGCACUAUGCGAAGAGGUGAAGCCGCAUAUGACGAACCGUGGGCUCCAAGGCGGCGCCUUCAGGAAGGGGACGACACCGGAGCGCCACCACCGCCCGAUCUGAGGAUCAGAGUUUCCCUUGGAGCAACAUGAGAAGCAAUGAGAGCCGCGACGAUGCCUUCAAGAAGGGAAUGAGCUUCGCCGCCGCCGGUCCGUCCGAGGAUAGAGCGGGUUUUCACCCCGGCCACCAAUCACCACCACCGAGCGCCACACCCCGGUUAC